GCUGACGAGCGGCGGACGGGUGAGUAAUGCAUAGGAAUUUACCCGAUAGUGGGGGAUAACCUGGGGAAACCCAGGCUAAUACCGCAUACGUCCUACGGGAGAAAGGGGGCUUUGGCUCCCGCUAUCGGAUGAGCCUAUGCCGGAUUAGCUGGUUGGUGAGGUAAUGGCUCACCAAGGCGACGAUCCGUAGCUGGUCUGAGAGGAUGAUCAGCCACAUCGGGACUGAGACACGGCCCGAACUCCUACGGGAGGCAGCAGUGGGGAAUAUUGGACAAUGGGCGCAAGCCUGAUCCAGCCAUGCCGCGUGUGUGAAGAAGGCCCUCGGGUUGUAAAGCACUUUCAGCGAGGAAGAACGCCUGGCGGUUAAUACCCGCCAGGAAAGACAUCACUCGCAGAAGAAGCACCGGCUAACUCCGUGCCAGCAGCCGCGGUAAUACGGAGGGUGCAAGCGUUAAUCGGAAUUACUGGGCGUAAAGCGCGCGUAGGUGGCUUGAUAAGCCGGUUGUGAAAGCCCCGGGCUCAACCUGGGAACGGCAUCCGGAACUGUCAGGCUAGAGUGCAGGAGAGGAAGGUAGAAUUCCCGGUGUAGCGGUGAAAUGCGUAGAGAUCGGGAGGAAUACCAGUGGCGAAGGCGGCCUUCUGGACUGACACUGACACUGAGGUGCGAAAGCGUGGGUAGCAAACAGGAUUAGAUACCCUGGUAGUCCACGCCGUAAACGAUGUCGACCAGCCGUUGGGUGCCUAGCGCACUUUGUGGCGAAGUUAACGCGAUAAGUCGACCGCCUGGGGAGUACGGCCGCAAGGUUAAAACUCAAAUGAAUUGACGGGGGCCCGCACAAGCGGUGGAGCAUGUGGUUUAAUUCGAUGCAACGCGAAGAACCUUACCUACUCUUGACAUCCUGCGAAUUNGGUAGAGAUACCUGAGUGCCUUCGGGAACGCAGAGACAGGUGCUGCAUGGCUGUCGUCAGCUCGUGU
rnacentral:rRNA from 1 species